UCCGUUGUGGUCUAGGGGCUAGGAUUUGCCGCUCUCAUUAAGAGCUUUACACUUAACAAGUGCCGGCAAGGCCCGGGUUCGAUUCCCGGCGACGGAA